rnacentral:rRNA from 1 species
AAUGAACGCUGGCGGCAUGCCUAACACAUGCAAGUCGAACGAACCCUCCGGGACUUGUGUCGUCCGGGUGUGUCACGCGUCGGAACAUGCACUUAGGUUUGACCUAACUCUCCGACUGGGGUGCUAAUACCGGACAAUAUCUUAUGCCCAAAGAUUUAUUGCCUUUGGAUGGGCACGCGUUGGAUUAGCUAGUUGGUAGGGUAAUAGCCUACCAAGGCGACCAUCCAUAGCUGGUCUGAGAGGAUGAUCAGCCACACUGGGACUGAGACACGGCCCAGACUCCUACGGGAGGCAGCAGUGGGGAAUAUUGGACAAUGGGCGAAAGCCUGAUCCAGCAAUGCCGCGUGAGUGAUGAAGGCCUUAGGGUUGUAAAGCUCUUUUACCCGGGAUGAUAAUGACAGUACCGGGAGAAUAAGCUCCGGCUAACUCCGUG